GUCCCGUUCGUCUAGCCCGGUCAGGACACUGGGUUUUCAUCCCAGCAACAGGGGUUCGAAUCCCCUACGGGACGCCA
rnacentral:tRNA from 1 species